rnacentral:rRNA from 1 species
GAUGAACGCUGGCGGCGUGCCUAAUACAUGCAAGUCGAGCGAACGGACGAGAAGCUUGCUUCUCUGAUGUUAGCGGCGGACGGGUGAGUAACACGUGGAUAACCUACCUAUAAGACUGGGAUAACUUCGGGACACCGGAGCUUAUACCGUAUGAUCUUUUGAACCGUAUGGUUCAAAGGUGAAAUACGGUCUUUCUGUCCCUUCUCGAUGGAUCCGCGCUGCAUUAGCUAGUUGGGAAGGUAACGGCUUACCAAGGCAACGAUGCAUAGCCGACCUGAGAGGGUGAUAGGCCACACUGGAACUGGGACACGGUCAAGACACCUACGGGAGGCAGCAGUAGGGAAUCGUCCGCAAAGGGCGAAAGCCUGACGGAGCAACGCCGCGUGAGUGAUGAAGGUCUUCGGAUCGUAAAACUCUGUUAUUAGGGAAGAACAGAUGUGUAAGUAACUGUGCACAUCGUGACGGUACCUAAUCAGAAAGCCACGGCUAACUACGUG